rnacentral:lncRNA from 1 species
UGGGUUUAGGAUUUACCGUUUGGACUUAUGGUUAAGGUGGGUUUAGGGUAUAUAAUUUGGGUUUAAGAUUUACGGUUUGGGUUUAGGGUCUACGACUUGGGUUUAGGGUAUAGAGUUUAGGUUUAUAGUCUAGUUUUUGGGUUUAGGGUCUAGGAUUAGGGUUUAGGGUAUAGGGUUUGGGUUUAGGGGUUUGGAUUUGGGUUUAGAAUUUAGAGUAUAGGGUUUAGAAAUUAAGAUUUAGGGUUUAGGGUUUAGGGUUUAGCUGAAAGCGUUAGCGUCGUUAAAAUUAGCGUUUUUAUUUUUUGUAGCUAUUUUUUAUUUAAUUUAAUAUUUUUAAUUAAUAAUAUAUGUGUCACUUUGAUUGGUCCUAAAAGGUGGGGUGAAUUUAAAAGUUCACCCUAGGGGGUGAACCUAAGUUGUGUCCAAAUUCUAAACCCAAAUCCAAACCCCUAAACCCAAACCCUAUACCCUAAACCCUAAUCCUAGACCCUAAACCCAAAAACUAGACUAUAAACCUAAACUCUAUACCCUAAACCCAAGUCGUAGACCCUAAACCGAAACCGUAAAUCUUAAACCCAAAUUAUAUACCCUAAACCCACCUUAACCAUAAGUCCAAACGGUAAAUCCUAAACCCAAACCGUAAAUCCUAAACCUAAAACCUAUAACUAAACCCUAAUCCUAGACCGAAAACCCAAACGGUAAACCCUAAACUGAAACCCCAAACUUAGAUGCUAUAGGGUUUGGUUAAGGUUUACGGUUUGAGUUUAGGGUCUAAGACUUGGGUUUAGGGUAUAGGAUUUCGGUUUAUAGUCUAUUUUUUGGGUUUAAGGUAUAUAAUUUGGGUUUAGGGUCUAGGAUUAGGGUUUAGGGUAUAGGGUUUAGGUUUAGGGGUUUGAAUUUGGGUUUAGAAUCUAGUGUACAGGGUUUAGAAUUUAAGAUUUAGGGUUUAAGGUUUCGCUGAAAGCAUUAACGUCGUUAAAAUUAGCGUUUUUAUUUUUUGUAACUAUUUUUUAUUUAAUUUAAUGUUUUUUAAUUAAUAAUCUAUGUGUCACUUUGAAUGAUCAUAAAGGGUGGAGUGAAUUUAAAGGUUCACCUUAGGGGGUGAACCUAAGUUCUGUCCAUUUUGGACACAACUUAGGUUCACCCCUUAGGGUGAACUUUUAAAUUCACCCCACCUUUUAGGACCAAUCAAAGUGACACAUAGAUUAUUAAUUAAAAAUAUUAAACUAAAUAAAAAAUAGCUACAAAAAAUAAAAACGCUAAUUUUAACGACGCUAACGCUUCCAGCUAAACCCUAAACCCUAAAUCUUAAUUUCUAAACCCUAUACCCUAAAUUCUAAACCCAAAUCCAAACCGCUAAACCCAAACCCUAUAACCUAAACCCUAAUCCUAGACCCUAAACCCAAAAACUAGACUAUAAACCU